UGCAUGGUAGUGGGGGAUAACGUUUCGAAAGGAACGCUUAUACCGCAUACGUCCUACGGGAGAAAGCAGGGGACCUUCGGGCCUUGCGCUAUCAGAUGAGCCUAGGUCGGAUUAGCUAGUUGGUGAGGUAAUGGCUCACCAAGGCGACGAUCCGUAACUGGUCUGAGAGGAUGAUCAGUCACACUGGAACUGAGACACGGUCCAGACUCCUACGGGAGGCAGCAGUGGGGAAUAUUGGACAAUGGGCGAAAGCCUGAUCCAGCCAUGCCGCGUGUGUGAAGAAGGUCUUCGGAUUGUAAAGCACUUUAAGUUGGGAGGAAGGGCAGUAAGUUAAUACCUUGCUGUUUUGACGUUACCGACAGAAUAAGCACCGGCUAACUUCGUGCCAGCAGCCGCGGUAAUACGAAGGGUGCAAGCGUUAAUCGGAAUUACUGGGCGUAAAGCGCGCGUAGGUGGUUUGUUAAGUUGGAUGUGAAAGCCCCGGGCUCAACCUGGGAACUGCAUCCAAAACUGGCAAGCUAGAGUACGGUAGAGGGUGGUGGAAUUUCCUGUGUAGCGGUGAAAUGCGUAGAUAUAGGAAGGAACACCAGUGGCGGAGGCGACCACCUGGGCUAAUACUGACACUGAGGU
rnacentral:rRNA from 1 species